rnacentral:lncRNA from 1 species
UUGGGCUCUUCCUCGAGGCUCUGCGCAGAAGGGCUGCCACCUCUCGCACAAGGGCUGCCGGAUGGGAAAGAAGCACUCACACAACCCCUGACAAUUGGCAAAGGUCUUUAUUGCCACGUGGCUCCAGGCUAAUGCCUGGAGUGGAGCCUGAGCGAUGACGAAUAGGGAGCUUGCCGAGCCCUUCUGCACAGCUGACGGUGUUCCUUGAGGACACUUUUCAGAGAGCUGCCAGGGGACUCCCAUGUUUGUUGUGGCCGAGGUGGGUCCACUUCCAUCGCUUCCUCUUCAUCUUGUGCACCCACCUCCAUGGGCUCCGCGGGUUGGAGGACGAGCCAGUCCCUGGCAGGGACUGCCCACACAGGCUGCCAUCCAUUGGGCAUAUUUUCCGGCCACGGUGCCGCACCAGGACGCCUCCCAGCUCCGUGCCUCGGGGCCAUUCCGUUCUCCGCUUGAUUUUCACUCACGGAAUUCCUGACGGCAUCUCUCCCUUGGCCACGGCUGGUUCCUGCGUCAUAUUCCGUCCGCUGGGCACGGCUCCGCUUCCCGUGGCCCUCCAACCCACGCUCUCUCUCUUUGCUGUCCUCACUGGACCUCCGGCUAGGCCCAGGUCUGCUGUUGGUGUGCAUCCGAGGGGCCGGUCUGCUCCCCACAUCGCUUCGGCUCCAAUGAUAUUUAUCAUAAUAGCCUCUGGGCCGGGCACCAGACACCUCCUGGGCACUGAUGGUUCUUGUGCUGGAGGCGCUGGCCCUCGACCCAUGGCGCAUUCUCGCAGAGCCAGACAUCCUUCUCAGUGGUCCCAGGAACAAUUUCUUGUCCUCGCACUGAGAAGGGCUGCUGCUCGCCUCUCUCACUUUGCUCCUAACUCUGGCCUUCCUUCAGCCGCCGGCUUUCAGAAGACCAAAUCGCUGAGCAAGUGGCGGGCCAGUGGCAGGGGGGCCCCUUUUAUAGGGCCCAGGCCAAGGGCGGGCCUGCUGGUGGCCACUGUGACCUCGGCAAAGCUCUGUGAUGGAGCGGCCCGUGCGAGGCUGAAGGCGGCUGCCUUGGGAGAGGCCCGGAAGAUGCACUCAUGUGGAGCAAGGACGAGGGUUGGGGGGGCUGAGGGCCUCCUUUUCUGGGUCUGGCUGGCCCCCAGGCCGUUUGGCUUGCCAGAGAGAAAGGCUGCCCCAUGAAACCCUGCCUCGACCCGUUUUUUCUCCAGAUCUCCAAGGGCCAGAGUCUCUCGUUAACAAAAAGAAAACCCCACCAACAAAACCAAAACAGACCAAUUCACAAGGCUAACGCAGUCAAAACCGAAGUACCGAUCACAGAAUCACAGAAUUUCUAGCUUGGAAGAGACCUCAAGAUCAUCGAGUCCAAACUCUGACCUAACACUAACAAGUCCUCCACUAAACCAUAUCCCUAAGCUCUACAUCUAAACGUCUUUUAAAGACCUCCAGGGAUGGGGACUCCACCACCUCCCUGGGCAGCCUGUUCCAGUGUCUAACAACCCUUUCAGUAAAGAAGUUCUUCCUAACAUCCAACCUAAAUCUCCCCUGGCGCAACUUAAGCUCAUUCCCCCUCUUCCUGUCACCAGGCACGUGGGAGAACAGACCAACCCCACCUCGCUACAGCCUCCUUUGAGGUACCUGUAGAGAGCAAUAAGGUCGCCCCUGAGCCUCCUUUUCUCCAGGCUGAACAAGCCCAGCUCCCUCAGCCGCUCCUCAUAGGACUUGUUCUCCAGGCCCCUCACCAGCUUCGUCACCCUUCUCUGGACCCACUCAAGCACCUCCAUGUCCUUCUUGUAGCGAGGGGCAACAUCAUACAUGUGUGUGUGUGUGUGUGUGUGUGUGUAUCUACCUCUGUUGUUUCACUUUCUAAGUUGAAAUUUUAAAACAUUUCAGUCAUCAGUUGAAAACCAUUGUUGCCUGACAGAAAACAUCAUAUGACAAAGGAAAAUUCCUAUCUGAAAAGGCAAAGUAGUUAAAUUUACAGUGGUGCUAUAGUACUGUAUCUUUGAUGUAACACUGAAGUGCAAUGUUAAAAUCUUUCAGAUUAACUGAGAUGAAAGUUUACAUUUCCCCAUAGGCUUUUAAAGAAAUUAAAAAGAGGAGAAACCUAAGCACAUGUAAUGCUUUAGGAUUCAAAAAAGUUGCUUCUUCUAGAUCACCUCUUAUAAGUAAAUUAUGGUAGGCAGGUCUCAACUUUUAACUUUUCUAACUGUACUUCAAUUUCAGUAUUUUUUAUUAAAUUAGUUCCAAUUUGUAUUUACUAUGUAUUUAUAUUCUUUCUUAUUGCUCAAACACAUUUUUACUGCCCCUUUGUUAUCUACAAGAAACAGACAGAAGAAUAAAAACUAUUGCUACAAAAAUUUCA